rnacentral:rRNA from 1 species
CGACCCCAGGUCAGGUGGAAAAACCCGCUGAGUUUAAGCAUAUCAAU